UUCACCACAAACUCUUUAACAAGACCUUCAAAAUAUUGAGAUAACCCACUAACUGUUUUCAUUAAACCGACAGACUUGAUCAGGUCCAUGACCUCCUUAACUUCCACAUCAUCCUUUCCCAGUUCUCUUUCCACAGCUACUCUCCUUUGGAUUACAAAUUUCUACUUGGCUGCACCAUCUUCCAGAUGGAAGGAACUGUUAUCCAAAUGUACAAUAGCAACCUUAGCAAGAGAUUUUCUAAUAGUAGACCUUUUGAUAUGAGAGAUGUCU
rnacentral:lncRNA from 1 species